AGUGAACGCUGGCGGUAGGCCUAACGCAUGCAAGUCGAACGGCAGCACAGUAAGAGCUUGCUCUUACGGGUGGCGAGUGGCGGACGGGUGAGGAAUACAUCGGAAUCUACUUUUUCGUGGGGGAUAACGUAGGGAAACUUACGCUAAUACCGCAUACGACCUACGGGUGAAAGCAGGGGAUCUUCGGACCUUGCGCGAUUGAAUGAGCCGAUGUCGGAUUAGCUAGUUGGCGGGGUAAAGGCCCACCAAGGCGACGAUCCGUAGCUGGUCUGAGAGGAUGAUCAGCCACACUGGAACUGAGACACGGUCCAGACUCCUACGGGAGGCAGCAGUGGGGAAUAUUGGACAAUGGGCGCAAGCCUGAUCCAGCCAUACCGCGUGGGUGAAGAAGGCCUUCGGGUUGUAAAGCCCUUUUGUUGAGAAAGAAAAGCAGCAGGUUAAUACCCCGCUGUUCUGACGGUACCCAAAGAAUAAGCACCGGCUAACUUCGUG
rnacentral:rRNA from 1 species